AAUCAACGCUGGCGGCGUGCCUCAGACAUGCAAGUCGAACGAGAAAGUUUCCUUCGGGGAAUGAGUAAAGUGGCGCACGGGUGAGUAACACGUAGGUAAUCUACCUUCGGGUGGGGAAUAACCCAGGGAAACUUGGGCUAACACCGCAUAAUGCAGCGGCACCACAUGGUGACAGUUGUUAAAGCGGGGGAUUUUAGGACCUCGCGCCUGAAGAGGAGCCUGCGGCGGAUUAGCAGUUGGUAAGGUAACGGCUUACCAAGGCGACGAUCCGUAACCGGCCUGAGAGGGCGGUCGGUCACACUGACACUGACAUACGGGUCAGACUCCUACGGGAGGCAGCAGUCGGGAAUUUUGGGCAAUGGGCGAAAGCCUGACCCAGC
rnacentral:rRNA from 1 species